CCCUUAGAUGGUCUGGGCGGCACGCGCGCUACACUGAUGCAUUCAACGAGUUUUGUUUGUUCCGUGGCCGAGAGGCCUGGGCAAUCUUUUGAACUUGCAUCGUGAUAGGGAUAGAUUAUUGCAAUUAUUAAUCUUGAACGAGGAAUUCCUAGUAAACGCAGAUCAUCAAUCUGCAUUGAUUACGUCCCUGCCCUUUGUACACACCGCCCGUCGCACCUACCGAUUGAAUGGUCCGGUGAAGCCUCGGGAUUGUGGUUGGUUUCCUUUAUUGGAGAUUGAUUGCGAGAACUUGUCUAAACCUUAUCAUUUAGAGGAAGGUGAAGUCGUAACA
rnacentral:rRNA from 1 species